rnacentral:rRNA from 1 species
AAAGCGUGCGCAGGCGGUUAUGUAAGACAGUUGUGAAAUCCCCGGGCUCAACCUGGGAACUGCAUCUGUGACUGCAUAGCUAGAGUACGGUAGAGGGGGAUGGAAUUCCGCGUGUAGCAGUGAAAUGCGUAGAUAUGCGGAGGAACACCGAUGGCGAAGGCAAUCCCCUGGACCUGUACUGACGCUCAUGCACGAAAGCGUGGGGAGCAAACAGGAUUAGAUACCCGAGU